rnacentral:rRNA from 1 species
AUUGAACGCUGGCGGCAGGCUUAACACAUGCAAGUCGAGCGGGGGAAGGUAGCUUGCUACCGGACCUAGCGGCGGACGGGUGAGUAAUGCUUAGGAAUCUGCCUAUUAGUGGGGGACAACAUCUCGAAAGGGAUGCUAAUACCGCAUACGUCCUACGGGAGAAAGCAGGGGAUCUUCGGACCUUGCGCUAAUAGAUGAGCCUAAGUCGGAUUAGCUAGUUGGUGGGGUAAAGGCCUACCAAGGCGACGAUCUGUAGCGGGUCUGAGAGGAUGGUCCGCCACACAGGGACUGAGACACGGCCCAGACUCCUACGGGGGGCAACAGUGGGGAAUAUUGGACAAUGGGGGGAACCCUGAUCCAGCCAUGCCGCGUGUGUGAAGAAGGCCUUAUGGUUGUAAAGCACUUUAAGCGAGGAGGAGGCUACUUUAGUUAAUACCUAGAGAUAGUGGACGUUACUCGCAGAAUAAGCACCGGCUAACUCUGUGCCAGCCGCCGCCGUAA